UGUGCACAGCAGUCAGCAGGGAGGACGCUGGCACAGAGAAGGGGAAGGAUAAUUUCACAGGAAUCAAAUCCCCUGUCAAACGGAUCGUGGACAUGCCUCCCUGCCACCUCUGCUCUCAUAUCUGAUGUCUACUCGGCACUUGUUUUUUGCUUUGGAAGCUGCCAGCUUCCGACUGAUCCUACACUGCUAAACCUCCCUGACCAGGUGUGGCCUAAAAAAAAACCCAAACAACAAAGCAACACACAAGCUACUACAGUGUGUGGGAUGUUUCAGGGAGCAGUGAGAAGCAACACAAGCUCUCAACAGAAACUGCUGGCACAGAGUGGCAAAGCUUUGGGAGCAGCAGAAAGCAGCUGACUCCGUUUGACCUGCCUCUCUGUCCACACUCCAGCCAGGAGUGGGAGGGCUAACAUUAAAUUACAAGCCCAGAAAGCCCAGCCUGUGAACAAAUCACAUAUAAGAGCUGCCUAUUGUAUAAAUUGUGUUAAACCCUGUAUGUACACAGCUAUACUUACACCAGCUGUAAGAUUAACGUUAUUCACUUAAUUUCAGUGUGAAGGUUGGCCUUGCAGUUAAAGCACUUUGCCAGAGCUCAGGACACAGAAAUGUGUUUCACCUCUGACACAGACUUGCUGCAUCACUACCAUGGGCAAGACACUUCAUCCUGUAGUCUUUCUGCCCUCCCAGUAGUAAAGGAGGAUAUCUUGCAGAUGGAUGUUUUAAGAGGUGUAAACAAAAUGACUUUCAGUUAAAUUUAAAUGGGCACGGUUGGAUUACAGGCCAGAGUCUAACUUGGUGUGACCAGGAACAACACUAUUGACUUCAGCAAGGUUUUAUUCAAUUAAAUUGUGUAAAAUAGCCUAACAAA